rnacentral:lncRNA from 1 species
UCAUGAGUGCUCACCUGGUAGAGGGAAGACCCUGAACGUCCAGACCGUUCCCCUGACCGGCCACGUGUGGACUCUUGGUGGCUCUGCUGUCUCAGCCCAGCCUUUCCGUGGCCUGACACUGAUUGUGUGUCUGAGUUUUCUGAAUGUCCCUCACUGUCACUGGCCUGACUACCGCUAGACCCCCGGUGUCCACGAUCGCUGACUGCAGAUGAAGCUUGCCCGCGCCCAGUGGCUGAGUGUCUGGAGCUGUCUGCUGACUGCUGGUGGCCGGAUCCAUGUCUUUCUCCUGGACUUGAUCUUGCCUGUUCAUGGGAUGAUGCAGUCUGUCCACGAGAGGAAGUCUCUGCGUGACGAGUGCCUGAUUGUCUGGAGCUGUCUGCAGAGUGCCCAUGACUGGCUCUGUCUUCAUCAUGGGACCUGGGGUGUCUGGAGCCAUCUCUUGACUGCUCCCACGCAGAUCCAUGAUGGUUUCUGGAAGCCGACCCAGAGUGCCUCUCAGAGUCUUCUGAGUGUCCCUCACUGUCCCUGUCCUGGCUAACUCUGGAUCCCCUACGCUUUCUUGUCCUGGACUCCUGCAAUGGUGAAAUUGAAGGCCAGCUUUUGGAACUCAACCUUCAAAGGAACUUAAAAUUUCCAUUAUGUAGAGUCCCUGAGGAAACUGGAUCCACUAGCUACACUGGCUGAGAAUGCUCUCACCCCAGGAUUUCAUUUUUAUUUUACCACAUCAUUGUUGGUAUCUUAAGAUCAAUGUACUGGAGCAGCGGGGUCUCACAAAGAGGAUACCUGGUGACACGCCCAGGCUUUCAGAAUGCACUAUAGGGCUUUAGUGACUUGUCCAGGUUCAGCUGAAAUGUGCCAUCUGGGACCUACUAAUGCUUGUUGAACUUUACUGGAUCUCAGAAGCUGGGUCUCAGAAGCUCAGAUGUUCCUCAGAGCUACGAUAUCAACAACCUGUGAUGACAGAGAGAAGGUUGCUCCAUGAUGGAUUUGGAAACUUACUGGCUAGCUAAACCUGACUGAAUGGGAAGGAAUGUGGAUAGCUUUGGAACUCUAGUUUCACUAGAUGAGCUGGAAUUUGUAUUUUGACAAAUUGCACGUUAUGAUUAUUAAGUAAUGCAACUGAUUUUUUUUUCCCUUAAAACAAACAAUCUAGAAUCUGUGUAAUCAAAAUAAUUUCUCUAAAAGGCUGCAAGUAUAUGCUUAAAGUGUUGGGGCAUUCAGAGCAUUUGGAACAUUACAUUCUUUUGAAUGUCAAUUGGUAGAUGAAAAUACCAGCUUUUAAGUCAUACAUUUGAUUUUUUGAAACAAUAUGCAUUUAGAGUUUGUAAGUCAAGUGAAUAACUGAUAAGGUAAAAAAAAGGGGGAGUUCAUUGUUGAGUAUGAAUUUAAAGUAACCAGACUGCCUUUUGUCCAGUGGCUGUCAGUAAUUUACUUCAGCAGGCAUUUUUUUUUUUUUGAGGCUGUUCUAUGAUAUCAUGACCCUUCUUGUAGGAAUGUGCUUCCAGUGGUGAGGCAGUCUGAGAAUGUGUGAAGCAGUAUAAUGAAGCCAGACCAAGAUGGAAGCUUGGCCUGGGAUUUGAGCAUCAGGAAAACUGUUGAAGGGUUAUGUAUACAUCACACACACACACACACACACACACACACACACACACACACACACACUCUCUUCCAUACUCCUAUAACAACGUAUAGUAUUUACUAUACCUGGUGACAGGUAUUUACUAUACAUUGUUGAAGAUCUAUAACAUGGAAUGCCUAGUGCUAAGUGCAGUGUCCUUAGUGAAAUUGUAUUGGUUUGGAAUUAUUUAUGAGUUUGGGAUUAUUUGUCACUACCCUUAAAUGAUCUUGACACUCACCUAUUUGAAAAGAUAUUGAGGAUUUGCCAUUUGAUAUUGACCAGGGUGUAUUGUGCACAAAUAUUGUGAAUAUACAUCUGUCUGUCCUUAAAUCACUGUAAGUUUUAACUGGAAUAGAUUUGCUCCACAUUACUCGGUAGGGCUGAUAUUUCAUGCCUCAUGGAUGAGAAAAGAAUAGGCAAAAAUUAUAUCUCGGGCUGCCUCACACAUCUUUUAACAGGAUAAGGGAAAAAUAAAUAUAAGACCUAUGAGUUAUGGCAUCAGGCUUGAACUUUAAUUUAUGAAUUAAACCAACAAUAUUAUUGAUUAUUGCAAUUAUCUAUCUUAAUUUCAUUUGUUCUCCUUUUAAAAAUUAAUUAUGUUUAUUUUACCUAUUGUGAAUAAAGUCACUCCUCCCAUGUGCUUAUUUCUUGACUCUGGCACUAAUUAUUCUUCAGUGCCUAGAUUUCCUGGGACUGCUCAGUUUAAGUAACUUCUGAACAUUGGUCUCUGAGAGAAAAGACAGUGAAGUGGGAUCUGUGGAAAAACACAUCUGCAAAUGUCUCAUUUUUUUCUUCAGGGGUAAGUUUUCUUCCUUGGAGACUCUUGUCUUGAAAAAGUGAUACUAGAUCACCAUUUGGCAAGAUAAUUACAAAAGGCAGAUAGAGUAAUUAUUUUACAUAGCUGUUAUAGGGUGACUAAGAUCUCAGGGAAUGACUGUGUUCUGUAAUCCACUUGCCCCACUCAAUACCCCAAGUUUUAUACAAGCCAAAGAUGCUUGGAGCAGAAUCUGCUACCUGAGGCUCCAGGGCCUUGGCCUAGGGAAACUAAUACUUAACUUUUUAAGUGGUCAUUGAUGACAUCCCACUCCUUUCUGAGAUGGGUAUGAUUUGAAAGGCAGGUGUAUUCAUGGAGAGCAGGGCUUGGGACCUUUGCUGCAAGAGGAGGAACUAUUAGCCUAGACUUUUCUAAUAAGGACUUUCUCAUACCUGUUUCCUAGAUCUGGUCCACAUAGAAGAAAUCAGGGAACACACAGGGUAGGACUCUUAAAGGAGUAUGUUUCUUGGCUUUUUCCUAAAAACUAAAACAAAAACAUUCAUAGCAAAGCAGUUUAGCCCAGUGACUAAGAGUAUAGACAUUGGAAUCUGAAAGAUCUGGGUUGGAAUUCUGCUUCAGCCAUUUACUAAUUAUGUAACUUCACAUCUCUGAGAAUGGGGGAAAUUUUCUUUGCAGGGUUGUUACAAAGCUUAAAAGAGUUAAGUCAAGUGCCUGGAACAGAACAGCCAUUCAAUAAAUCAUAGAAAUUUUUGUUUUUACACAAAUUUUUAAAAAGUAAUAUUUUUUGCAUUUGUUAGAAAGACUAUAUUUUCUGUUUAGUGGAUGACAUCAUCAUCAUAAAAAUCACUGUUACAAGUUUUGUUUUGAGAAUUAAAAUCAUAUAUUAAUCCC